rnacentral:rRNA from 1 species
CUAUUUUCCACGCAUGAGGGAGAUGAGAAAGGCGGAGCAAUCUGCCGCUUAUGGAUGGACCUGCGUCGCAUUAGCUAGUUGGAGUGGUAAAGGCACACCAAGGCGACGAUGCGUAGCCGACCUGAGAGGGUGAGCGGCCACACUGGGACUGAGACACGGCCCAGACUCCUACGGGAGGCAGCAGUAGGGAAUCUUCCGCAAUGGACGAAAGUCUGACGGAGCAACGCCGCGUGAGUGAAGAAGGUUUUCGGAUCGUAAAGCUCUGUUGCCAGGGAAGAAGAGCAAGGAGAGGAACUGCUCCUUGAGUGACGGUACCUGAGAAGAAAGCCCCGGCUAACUACGUG